CCAACAGGGAUUGCCUCAGUAACGGCGAGUGAAGCGGCAACAGCUCAAAUUUGAAAUCUGGCCCCAGGCCCGAGUUGUAAUUUGUAGAGGAUGCUUCGGACGCGGCGCCUUCCAAGUCCCCUGGAACGGGGCGCCUUAGAGGGUGAGAGCCCCGUACGGUUGGACGCCAAGUCUGUGUGAAGCUCCUUCGACGAGUCGAGUAGUUUGGGAAUGCUGCUCAAAAUGGGAGGUAGACCCCUUCUAAAGCUAAAUACCGGCCAGAGACCGAUAGCGCACAAGUAGAGUGAUCGAAAGAUGAAAAGCACUUUGAAAAGAGGGUUAAAUAGCACGUGAAAUUGUUGAAAGGGAAGCGCUUGUGACCAGACUUGCGCCGGGGCGAUCAUCUAGCGUUCUCGCUGGUGCACUCGCCCCGGUUCAGGCCAGCGUCGGUUUGGUUGGGGGGACAAAGACUUUGGGAAUGUGGCUCCCCCGGGAGUGUUAUAGCCCUUUGUGUAAUGCCCCCGACCGGACCGAGGUUCGCGCUCUGCAAGGACGCUGGCAUAAUGGUCAUCAGCGACCCGUCUUGAAACACGGACCAAGGAGUCGAGGUUCUGCGCGAGUGUUUGGGUGUCAAACCCGCACGCGUAAUGAAAGUGAACGUAGGUGGGAGCUUCGGCGCACCACCGACCGAUCCUGAUGUUCUCGGAUGGAUUUGAGUAAGAGCGUUGGGCCUCGGACCCGAAAGAUGGUGAACUAUGCUUGGAUAGGGUGAAGCCAGAGGAAACUCUGGUGGAGGCUCGCAGCGGUUCUGACGUGCAAAUCGAUCGUCAAAUCUGAGCAUGGGGGCGAAAGACUAAUCGAACCAU
rnacentral:rRNA from 3 species